UAGGGAAUCUUCCGCAAUGGACGCAAGUCUGACGGAGCAACGCCGCGUGAGUGAAGAAGGAUUUCGGUUCGUAAAACUCUGUUGUUAGAGAAGAACAGCGCAUAGAGUAACUGUUAUGCGUGUGACGGUAUCUAACCAGAAAGCCACGGCUAACUACGUGCCAGCAGCCGCGGUAAUACGUAGGUGGCAAGCGUUGUCCGGAUUUAUUGGGCGUAAAGCGAGCGCAGGCGGUCAAUUAAGUCUGAUGUGAAAGCCCCCGGCUCAACCGGGGAGGGUCAUUGGAAACUGGUUGACUUGAGUGCAGAAGAGGAGAGUGGAAUUCCAUGUGUAGCGGUGAAAUGCGUAGAUAUAUGGAGGAACACCAGUGGCGAAGGCGACUCUCUGGUCUGUAACUGACCCUGAGGCUCGAAAGCGUGGGUAGCAAACAGG
rnacentral:rRNA from 1 species